UACGGAGGGUGCGAGCGUUGUCCGGAAUCAUUGGGCGUAAAGGGCGCGUAGGUGGCCCGGUGAGUCUUUGGUGAAAGCGCGGGGCUCAACCCUGCGUCGGCCAGGGAUACUGCCGCGGCUCGAGCACUGUAGAGGCAGGCGGAAUUCCGGGUGUAGCGGUGGAAUGCGUAGAGAUCCGGAAGAACACCGGUGGCGAAGGCAGCCCCCUGGGCUAACACUGACGCUCAUGCACGAAAGCGUGGGGAGCAAACAGG
rnacentral:rRNA from 1 species